rnacentral:lncRNA from 1 species
CCAGAAUUGUGUGUUUUUGCUGUGUUUCACUUGGUACUCAGCAUUAAUCCUUCCUGUACUUACAUUUUCAGGUGCACUGCUGGAAGUGGCCCUUGCUGCCAUAUCCAAAAAUAAAGCCCUUUUCUUGAAGGAACGAGACAUUGAGGUUUAGUUUGCUAUGGCAGAGGCUUUGGGAAUGUGCAACAAAAAUUCAGAAGUCUAAUUAAGGAAGCAUUGAAUUUAAGGCCUGCCUUGACUUUUUCACUCAGUGAUCGUUGUUGAACCGCUUGGUCCCAUUCAGGCUUAGAACUGAAUUACCAAUAGUCAAGAACAGGAGACUGGAGCAAGAGGCUCAAAGCUGCAUUUUAUUGAGCAUUUGUCUGGCUUGCUGUGACACGUGGAUACAUCUGUGUUCAAGGAGCUGAAUUAGUUAUG